rnacentral:rRNA from 1 species
UUGACCUCAAAUCAGGUAGGACUACCCGCUGAACUUAAGCAUAUCAAUAAGCGGAGGAAAAGAAACUAACAAGGAUUCCCCUAGUAACUGCGAGUGAAGCGGGAAAAGCUCAAAUUUGAAAUCUGGCGGUUUUUGACCGUCCGAGUUGUAAUCUAGAGAAGUGUUACCUGUGCUGGACCGUGUAAAAGUCUCCUGGAAUGGAGCAUCAUAGAGGGUGAGAAUCCCGUCUUUGACAUGGACAACCAGUGCGUCGUGGUGCGCUCUCAAAGAGUCGAGUUGUUUGGGAAUGCAGCUCAAAAUGGGUGGUAAAUGCCAUCUAAAGCUAAAUAUUGGCGAGAGACCGAUAGCGAACAAGUACCGUGAGGGAAAGAUGAAAAGCACUUUGGAAAGAGAGUUAAACAGUACGUGAAAUUGCUGAAAGGGAAACGCUUGAAGUCAGUCACGUCGGCUAGAAAUCAGCCUUGCUUCUGCUCGGUGUACUUUCUGGUUGACGGGUCAGCAUCAAUUUCGACCGCUGGACAAAGUCUUUGGGAAUGUGGCAUCCUCGGAUGUGUUAUAGCCCAUCGUCGCAUGCAGUGGUUGGGAUUGAGGAACUCAGCACGCCGCAAGGCCGGGUUUCGACCACGUUCGUGCUUAGGAUGCUGGCAUAAUGGCUUUAAUCGACCCGU